UACAGAGGUCUCAAGCGUUGUUCGGAUUCAUUGGGCGUAAAGGGUGCGUAGGUGGCGGGGUAAGUCAGGUGUGAAAUCUCGAGGCUCAACCUCGAAACUGCAUUUGAUACUGCCUUGCUCGAGUACUGGAGAGGAGAUUGGAAUUUACGGUGUAGCAGUGAAAUGCGUAGAUAUCGUAAGGAAGACCAGUGGCGAAGGCGAAUCUCUGGACAGUUACUGACACUGAGGCACGAAGGCCAGGGGAGCAAACGGG
rnacentral:rRNA from 1 species